GGGUUAAAACUAUACUAGUAAGAGUUGAAACAACAAGGAUGUAGAAACUAGAAAGGCAUAAAACACAGGAACUUCAUUAGCUUCUUUGAACGUUUCUCCUCCCUUCGAGCUGCACGUCCAGGUUCAUCACUGCUGCUGUUGCUGCUGCUGGAUGAUGUCGUGGCUCUACGAGCAUGUGAUGGACCUUCAUCCUUCAGUUUCUUAGCCACCUUCAUUUUCUUAACAGCCUGAUCUUGAGAUUUCGAUUUGUGAUUAUCAGGAGUUUGUUGAGUUUCUUUGGCUUUAGCAUCAUUCCCUAUAAAUACAAACCCUAAAGGUCCAGGCUGCACAACUACAUCAUUUGCUAUUUGACACAUCAUUAUGGUAUGAUGAUUGCUGGUUGAACCUUUUCCACUCAAAUCUUC
rnacentral:misc_RNA from 1 species